ACCGAACUUUGUCAAUGAACUAGAGUGAAACUUUCGUUGGACUUGAUAUAAUAUAUAUCAUUCCUAACCUGUAAACUCUAGAUAAAGAUGGUCGGUGGACCACAGCUGGGGUAAUAAAUCAGUGGAAAAUUGCUGCUGAAGAGGAAAACUUGCCCGGCCGAACGAACAGAAGGUGGGAAAACUGUUGAAUUAUUUCCCAGGACACCGGCACACGCACACGCACAUGGAAUUAAAACAGAAGCAUAUCGAAUGAACGAGUCUUCGAAUCCUUGUAUCCUCGCACUCAUGUGCACGGGGAUCAGCCGAAGAGGAAACCUCAAGGAACCCAUAAAUUCUGCUGAGAAAAUCUCCCAAGGAAAACAAAAAUAGAAAAUGUGUCAAUGCAAACAACGGCAAGCCCAGUUCCCAGUUGUUGUUGUUGCUUCCAUUUCUGGCCAUGGAUCGUGGACCAAGUGAAUCUGGGCCAUAAAAGUGCAAAAUGUUUUCCACUCGGCUGGACCCUGAUUCUACCUCUCUACCUUCACAUCGCAUGCGAUGCACUCGUUAGGAACUACACUGGAAAAAAUAGUAGAGUAAAUUAUUUAGUUUAUGAGUAUUUAAGAAGCCAAAGAAAAUUACUUUAUAAGCUUAUAUUGUA
rnacentral:sRNA from 1 species